UUAUCUCUUUAAUUGGACAGCAUGUCCUCGAGUAAGACGGUAACACUUCAGUGUAUGCAUUUAGCUCUGAAGGAGCUGUUUGCAGAAUUCCACCACAGUGGCAGCCAUGCCAGCACUGCCAACGAGCUGAAGAUUAUUGUCAAUUAUUUAGGAAAGGAUGGCAAGAACAAUGUGAGAGAUAAGAAACAGAAGAUAAAUGUCAGAUGCUGCAUCCAUCCAAGUUUCUUAACAACGUCUCCAGAGGCUUUUCUUGCAAACCUGGGAUGCUGUGCAUGGAGGGGACCGGAGCUGUGGGACCACAGGUUGGCAAGUGACCGGGUGUGCUGGGGACAGCAGUGCUGCUCAUGUGGCUCCAAAAGGGCAAAGUGGACACAUGAAACUGCUGUGGGAGACGUAUUGCCACAUAGAAGAGGUUUACACUGAACACAACAAAUAAGAUGGUGCAGCGUUCAAUAUUGAAUUGUGACCAUUCUUUGGCCAUGAGAUAACCUUGCUCCAGUAGUGCUGAGGGCCCACAAGGAACAUCUCCAGCGUAAUUUGAUGGAAGUGAAAGAAAAAAGAAAUCCAGCCUGGCACUGGUUGUGAGUUGCUGUUUUUAUGUUCAAAGUGAAAUGUUUUCUCGGUGUGUGUGUGUGUGUUUAGAUGAGGGGUUCAAUUAUAGGUUGUUUUUCAAAGUUCUUGGUUUUGAAAGGAAGGCCACUUUGAUCGAUUUUCCUGUUCUAUCUUUUUUCAAGGAAGUGGGCUAAAAUAGUUUAGAAAGUUCUGUGCUGUUCUUGUGGUGGCUAAAGGUAAAUAUCAGUGUAAACCUUGAGCUGGGUAACAUGUGCUUUGCCGGCAAAAGUGAAUUAGAAAGAAGAACAGCUCUAUUUGCGUGUAUCAAUGUUCAGCUCGGAAAGAGGAUGUAAGGAGAGGAAGACAUCUUGGCUCUGGUUGGAAUAUUGCUCUCACUACUAUGCUGUAACCUUUGUUCAUCAGAUGAACAUUUCAAAAGUUAUUUUUGCCUCCCAUUUUCCACCCAGCUGGCAUCAAACAGCUGCUCUCUCCUUUGUCAUUUGCAAGAGUCCUCGUGCUGAGCUGUGGUUUUUUAGGCAGUGUAAUGUUUCUUGGUGCUUCCGAGACUGACACAUCAUUGUUUGGAUUCAUGAUGAUGGAGUAAGUGGUUUCACACAAAUACUUGUGCAUGCACUUUUCCCUACACGCGACUUAUAGGCAAUUCAGGAGCACCACUGUCAAUUUUCUUAGCCCUUAUCAAUGCAUAGAUUUGCAGAAGAAAGUUCUGAAAUACAGAUGUAGUUUGAAUCUAGUCUAGUGUGAGUGUAGUCUCCAUUGUCUGAGGAGGCCAGCGUCCCUGUGGCCACACAACCUAGAGUCUGGGAACUUAAAGUGGAAGACAGUAAGGCAUCCAUCUGAACAGACUGCAUGUAUGCAUGUCAUGGG
ensembl:lncRNA